rnacentral:rRNA from 1 species
CCUACGGGAGUCAGCAGUAAGGGAUAUUGGUCAAUGGGGGAAACCCUGAACCAGCAACGCCGCGUGAGGGAAGACGGUUUUCGGAUUGUAAACCUCUGUCCUCUGUGAAGAUGGUGACGGUAGCAGAGGAGGAAGCUCCGGCUAACUACGUGCCAGCAGCCGCGGUAAUACGUAGGGAGCCAGCGGUGUCGGGAUUUACGGGGUGUAAGGGGUGCGUAGGCGGCUUUGGAAGUCGGUAGUGAUAUCCACGGGCUCAACCCAAGAACGGCAAUUGAUACUGGCGAGCUGGAGUGAAGUAGAGGGAGGCGGAAUUCCCGGUGUAGCAGUGAAAUGCGUAGAGAUCGGGAGGAACACCAGUGGCGAAGGCGGCCUCCUGGACUUUAACUGACGCUGAGGCACGAAGGCGUGGGUAGCAAACGGGAUUAGAUACCCCAGUAGUC